rnacentral:rRNA from 1 species
GCGCACCAGUCGAGAAUAUUCGGCAAUGGGCGAAAGCCUGACCGAGCGACGCCGCGUGCGGGAUGAAGGCCUUCGGGUUGUAAACCGCUUUUCUAAGGGAAAAAAUUGUGUCUCACUGUUGUUUGGAGAAAAAAAUAAUAAGAAUAAGGUGGAUGGCCGUAGAGUUCCGUGACUUCCGCAGGUUUUCAUAAAAAUACCAAAUUACAGUGAGGCACAAAUUGAUGGUACCUUAGGAAUAAGAGGUUGCUAACUCCGUGCCAGCAGCAGCGGUAAUACGGAGACCUCAAGCGUUAUCCGGAUUUAUUGGGCGUAAAGGGUGUGUAGGCGGAUGUGAUAGUCAGAUGUUAAAUUAUGGAGCUCAACUCCAUAGCCGCAUUUUGAAACGUCACUUCUAGAGACAGGCAGAGGCUGGUGGAACUCAUGGUGUAGCAGUGAAAUGCGUUGAUAUCAUGGGGUACACCGGAAGGCGAAGGCAUCCAGCUGGGCCUGUUCUGACGCUGAGACACGAAGGCGUGGGUAGCGAACGGG